rnacentral:rRNA from 1 species
UACGAAGGGUGCAAACGUUGCUCGGAAUCAUUGGGCGUAAAGCGCACGUAGGCGGCCUUGUAAGUCGGAUGUGAAAUCCCACGGCUUAACCGUGGAAGUGCAUCCGAAACUGCGAGGCUCGAGUAUGGAAGAGGGUCGCAGAAUUCCCGGUGUAGAGGUGAAAUUCGUAGAUAUCGUGAGGAAGACCAGUGGCGAAGGCGGGUCUCUGGACAGUUCCUGACACUGAGGCACGAAGGCCAGGGGAGCAAACGGG